ACGGUUGUGCUUUUUGUCUGCAGUGUGAGUUAAGAUACUGUACUGAUCUUGGAACCGGUUGUUGUUCAGUCACUCAGUCGUAUGUGACUCCUUGUGAUCCCAUGGACUGCAGCUCGCCAGGCUUCCCUGGCCUUCAGUUCUCUUGGAGUUUGCUCACACUCAGUCGGUGAUGCCAUCCAGCCAGAGGAAGGUCAUUCUGGGUGAAGCAUCUAUGGAGUGUAUGUGCCAAGCACAGAGCUGUGCCUAGGAGUCAGCAGUGAACAAGUCAUUCAUGCCUCCCCACCUACAUGAGUUCACAGCCUGGCCAAGAGUGAAGCCCUAAACCUUGGUGGGUUUUGACAGCUCAUGGGGAGACACAUCACCUUGCUGCCUGGUUAGACUUUUCUGCGCCUUCCCAGGUGAUGCUUCCCAAGCCACACAGUGUCCUAGUUACCACAUAAGGACUGCCCAGUGAGCAACAGUGUCGCUCUAAGGCCCAGAUAUGUGCAACUUUUGCACCUUCCUUCUGUACCCAGCAGAGGAGUACUUACUAGGCUCAUUCCUCUGGUAGUACCUUUUCC